UACGUAGGGCGCAAGCGUUGUCCGGAAUUAUUGGGCGUAAAGGGCUCGUAGGCGGUUUGUCGCGUCGGGAGUGAAAUCAUCUGGCUUAACUGGGUGCUUGCUUUCGAUACGGGCAGACUAGAGGUAUGCAGGGGAGAACGGAAUUCCUGGUGUAGCGGUGAAAUGCGCAGAUAUCAGGAGGAACACCGGUGGCGAAGGCGGUUCUCUGGGCAUGACCUGACGCUGAGGAGCGAAAGUGUGGGGAGCGAACAGG
rnacentral:rRNA from 1 species